UGUGUGUGUGUGUGUUGCUGUGUAUGUGUGUGCGCGCAUGCUUGUGUAUGUGUUGUGUGUGUGUUAAGUCUCUUCAGGAAAUGUUCUGCCACACAACGGUUCAAAUCUCAACUUCUCAGUAGGUGCUUUACAACUGUAGGGAUUCCCCAAAAGAUGUUCAACGCCGUGGCCCUCUUGCAAAAGACGGGAUCUUCCGUGGUACUUGAUGAGGUCCUCAGCCUCGGAUAAAGUCAGCAUAUACCAUCCAGGCUCCUGAGAUGAUAUCUCCUUUCUUAUCAUCUGAACGCUGCACACGGUUUGGGGAGUGUGCUGUGACUGGGAGACUCAGCUUCUUUCUAUGGGGUGUUCAUUGGGGCUAACCACAUAAUCAUCAGAAUUACACAGGACUGGCACA